UAUUCCAUGUGAAACGUAAGUGAUGAUGUGUCAACUUCCAUGUGCAUCAAUCAACGUGUAGACAGUCUGAACUUCACAAUACAGUGCCUUGCGAAAGUAUUCGGCCCCCUUAAACCUUUCAACAUUGACACGGUCAUAUGCGGGAAUCAAACUCAAGGUGUCGGCACACAAGAUGGUCAAGUGCACCCCUACACUGUGGUAGAUUGGAUCGAGGACUCAGUGCUCAACUGUGUUGGUCUGUCUGUAGUUAUCAGACCAUAAAGCCACAACAUACACCAUCAGCGAUUCCCGAACCUGAACAGAAACUUUUUUUUUUUUUGCAAACUUUAUUUAGCAGAAGCAUAGUAUAAGAAACAUUCAAGUUUUCCUUUGUAGAAUGAACAUAUAAAACCAAUGCACAAAUUUAAGCUUUCUUUUGUGGAAUGAACAUAAGACAGAUCAAAGCACAAUUUUGAAAAAGCAACACAAAACUUAAGAUUCAAAAAUGUCCCAUUUUUAUAAUCUUUGGUAUGGUCUUAACUAGGCUGGAUGUAAUUUUUUUUGUUGUCGUUGAUUUCUCCGACUGCCCGUAAAGGCACCACCGCGAUCAGUUGCGGACAUGUGAAAAAGGCGUGCGGACGUGAAAAAGGCGGCUCUGUAUGGGAGAGACGUUGAAGAGGAAUAAAAACACCCUUGGAAACCAAAACUUGCCCCUCGUCGUGACUCGGAGCCGCAACAAAUGUUUCGGAUUUGUGUAGGGUACAUUGUGACAGCAAACGAGCAGAGCUUCUGAAGGUCAUCGUUGAGCCCCCUCUGGAAAUCCCUGGGCUGAGGAUCCUCAACUCUCGUUCAGAAUGUGAUGUGGAGAGUGGACGAUGCCCAUGACUGAUCUAGAGACCUUAGACAUGAUGUCCAAGGAAAUAAAUGACAAACAGGAUGCAAGACUGAAUGACAGAAUGAUUAAGCUUAGAAUUGGUUAGUCAAAAAUUUGGAUGUCCCCCGCACACACUCUUGAUAGCUUACAAAUGGAACCUGUAGGGUUCUGUUUGGUUUAAUUGCUGUACUGUCAAAGUUACUGAAUUUUCAGUUACUUUUUUGAUUCAUUUACAAGAAAAAAAGUCCUCAAGUGAUUUUGUCUACUCUUAAUUCCACUCUUCUGAGACACUGUUCAUAAUUCCUUGUAUACAGAUUGCAAAGCAGUCUUAUGUUAGGAGGCGGUUAGAGUCACAAAUUAAAGUCACAAUGAUCGUCACACACACAUCUGGGUGUGGUGAAAUUUGUUCUCUGCAUUUAACCCAUCCCUGUGUUAGCAGUGAGCAAGUUGCGGUGACGCGCUCAGGAAUCCAUCCCGUCAUGCUGAGUGCCAAGCAGGGAGGAAAUGGGUCCCAUUUUUCUUUUUAUAGUCUUUGGUAUGACCUAGCCGGGAUUUGAACCCACAACCUUCCAGUCUCAGGGCGGACACUCUACCACUAGGCCACUGAGCAGGUUGUGAUUCAAGAUCUGUACAGUAGAUUAAAAAAAGACAACAGUGAAGGCUUACGAUGUGGCUCCCCUCAAUGUUGAUAUUUUCUUCUGUUGUAGACUCUACACAAAUGACAACGUUCAAUAUGCGUGCUCGUGUGACUCGUGCAGAAAGCCCUCAGGAAGACUGCUCUGAUAGCGGUGGUAAAAAAAAAAAAAAACUCUGUUCGUUCCUGUGCGAUUGCUUCAUGUUCGAAAUGUGCGACUGACAUGAGAUGCAUCAAGGAAAAACAAUUUUACAGGUAGUUGUGUUUUUUUCCCCCCAUAUUCAUAUUUCUUUACAGAGUACCGUGUUUUUCCAUGCAUAAUGCGCCCCGUGCAUAAUACGCACCCUAAAAAUGGCAUGUCGAUGCUGUAAAAAAGCCUGUACCCAUGUAUAAUACGCACCCAAAUUUUGACUCUUACUUAAGUCCGUAAACGUAAAAUUAUUUCAGAAAAAAGAUCAUCUUUGGGAACAACCGUAUGUUAUUCUGCCGGUCAGUAUCACUGCGCAUGCGCUAACAAACUCGAUAGCGAAGAAAUGUUUCAGAAUUGUGUAGGGCAAUUACAUUACAUGUACAUUGUGACAGCAAAUGACCAGGUGAUCGAGCGUCUGAUACGAGAUCAUUGUGUUCGUAUGGAGCGUGUUUGAAGUGAAAAGCAGAGACGAAAGGAACAAGGCAAAGUGUUGUGAAAUAAAAUAUUACCUGUAAUACGCAUUUUGUUAUUUGCUGAUUGAAACUGCUAAUUAAACUGUGAAUUGAAACUAAUAGGAAGAAAACAACUCUCGCUCUUUAUAUAGCUGACGUGUCUUGCGCAUGCGUUCUGAGCAUCGGAUCCAUAGUGCGCAUGCGCAGUCAUACUGCCUCCGUAUGACGUCCGGUCCGCGAUGGAGAUUAAAAAACAAACAAUAUUUGACAAUAACACACCAUCAAGGAUUGCACCAUCGCAUCAAACGAUGUGUCGUCAAUUAUGAAUUUUACUGACUGUGUGUUGGGCAGGAUGGCUGAAUGCGAUGUGCGAUUGACAACAGACAAGAAGAAAGGUGAUUUCAAGUUUUAUUUCGAGGGAGAUUUGUCAUGUCUCGUCCCCAGUUUUGCUAUGUGUCUAGGUUGCCAUAGUUUCUGUUUGCGUCGCCCCUCCCUUCCUGUGUCACCUCAAUCAAUAUAACGUGUUUUGUAUUUAAGUCCUGUCUGCCCCUCGCUCACCGUCGGAUCAUUUCAUGUGUUACUGUCAUGAUGUCUGUUUGGUUUCUGUUCCUGUCUUUGGUAAUAUCACCCUGUCUUUUUGUUCCACGUCUUUGUCGGUCAGUCCUGUUGUUGGUUUUGUUGUACCAUGAUUUUCUUAAAAAAAUAAAAUAAAAAAUAAAUAAAUAAAAAAUUGUACCCAUGUAUAAUGCGCACCCUAGAUUUUAGGACAAUAAAUUAGUUAAAUUUUGCGCAUUAUACACGGAAAAAAACGGUAGUUAAAUUUUGCGCAUUAUGCACGGGAAACACGGUAAUCCCAAGGUCUACAAAGGGUGGUGCCUGAUGUACAUCAAGUUCAUCUUUGUAGAAGCUGUUGGCGACACGCACGGAGGCCACGGAUGAUGAAACAAGGAACGCAAUGGCUUUAAAAUUAAAACGGUCUCCAGCGUUGAGUAGCAAAGGGGGCUACCAAAAGCCCACAAGAGUGAUGUUAUAUUGUGUUUUGCCGAGAUGGUUGAUCUGUUUGAUAUGUCCUACAUAAAAUAUGUAUAUAUUUAUAUUGUUACGUAGUACUUUUGUUCUAUUAAAUAGCCCCCAUUUUUUAAUACUGUAUGUAUAGUUUUACAUUUUUAAACAUAUGAUUUAAAAACAUUGCACAUUUAUAUUUGUGAUGGAUAAUGUUAAAAUGAUUUAUUUAGGUUUGAUUAUCAUUUUGGUUAACACAGGCCAUUGUAAGUUUUGUUUGCAAAGCUUUACGUCCAUACUUAGUGUCAAAUUUACAACAGUAACAGGAUUUGCCUUGAGGUAAAUUUUACUUUGUUUUGUUAUUUUGCCUGUAAUUAAGAGUUUGGUUCAAUGCCUUUAUGCAAAUUGUUAAUGUGCAGUCACUUGCACUUUUCAGACUGACAAAUCUUUUUUUACAGUUAAUGUGAAUUGUAAAGUUUAAUUCAUGUUUGAACCUGAAACCUGACGAGAAAACAAUAAAGUCGUGUAUUUUUCAACA